rnacentral:rRNA from 1 species
GAGUUCAAUAGAGCGUGAAACCGUUGGGAGGGAAGCUCAGGGCCCCGAGGCGGUUGGGGCGUCCGGUGUUCAGGCGGCCCGUCGAAAGGCGGACCGUCGCAUUUGCCGGUGCCUCGUGGAAACCGUCAGCGAGGGGAGAGCUCGCCUGUUCCGCCCGGUGGAGGAGGUGGCAAGGGCUUCGUUCGCGGGGCCUUUGUUCGUACAGCUCCUGCCUGUCGGCUGGCGUGGCGAUCCCCAGGUGCGAUUGUCGAGGACGUCGUUUCGUCCGAUACGGAGAAGGUGCGGGCCUCCUCAGGGAGGUGCGGAGGUUCUUUCGGUGACUUGCGAAGCGGGUCGGAGGGUGUUCUCGGGUCCCGUCUCACGGCGGUGGCUUCGACGGGCAACUUCGUCCGUUCUCCGGGCUGUCCGGGAGGGCUCUCACGCCACCGUGCCUCGGUCGCUGGCGUCGAGUCGGUUCCCUGUGCCCC